UACGUAGGAGGCGAGCGUUGUCCGGAUUCAUUGGGCGUAAAGAGCGCGCAGGCGGCUUGGUAAGUCGGAUGUGAAAUCCCGAGGCUCAACCUCGGGUCUGCAUCCGAUACUGGGCGGCUAGAGUCUGGUAGGGGGAUCUGGAAUUCCUGGUGUAGCGGUGGAAUGCGCAGAUAUCAGGAGGAACACCGGUGGCGAAGGCGGGAUCCUGGGCCAGUACUGACGCUGAUGAGCGAAAGCGUGGGGAGCAAACAGG
rnacentral:rRNA from 1 species